UGAUUAUGAUUGAUCAUUGUGGAGUUGGGUGAAAACACCUGCAAGUCUGCAACCCAACCUCCACCAUUGUUUGACGUUCCAGAUUUUGGUCUCAAUAUUCAGAUCCAAGCACACCCAGCCCAGGCUUUGAGCACCAACAGAUCAAACACCCACAACCUCUAUUGAUCACUGUAGUUACCAAACCAGCAACUCCACCCACCGCCACCACCAAAACCCAGCGUCAACAUCACUGUCGCGCCGCUCUACUCCGCAACCAUCAGCAACC
rnacentral:lncRNA from 1 species